rnacentral:rRNA from 1 species
GUGUCAGCAGCCGCGGUAAUACGUAGGAGGCGAGCGUUGUCCGGAUUUACUGGGCGUAAAGGGCGCGCAGGCGGCCUGUCAAGUACCGUGUGAAAUCCACCUGCUCAACGGGUGGGGUGCUAGGUAGACUGGUAGGCUAGAGGACGGUAGAGGGGGGUGGAAUUGCUGGUGUAGCGGUGAAAUGCGUAGAGAUCAGCAGGAACACCCGUGGCGAAGGCGGCCCCCUGGGCCGUACCUGACGCUGAGGCGCGAAGGCUAGGGGAGCGAACGGGAUUAGAAACCCGCGUAGUCC